UACGUAGGGGGCAAGCGUUGUCCGGAAUUAUUGGGCGUAAAGAGCGUGUAGGCGGCCAGAUAAGUCCGCUGUGAAAUCUCGAGGCUCAACUUCGAGCUGUCGGUGGAAACUAUCUGGCUAGAGUCCGGAAGAGGAGAGUGGAAUUCCUGGUGUAGCGGUGAAAUGCGCAGAUAUCAGGAGGAACACCGGUGGCGAAGGCGGGUCUCUGGGCAGUAACUGACGCUGAGGAGCGAAAGCGUGGGGAGCGAACAGG
rnacentral:rRNA from 1 species